CAAAGUGCUGUUCGUGCAGGUAGAUUUAUAACAUUCCUACUGCAUGGGCAGCACUUCCUGA
rnacentral:pre_miRNA from 1 species